GCUAACGUCCGUCGUGAAGAGGGAAACAACCCAGACCGCCAGCUAAGGUCCCAAAGUCAUGGUUAAGUGGGAAACGAUGUGGGAAGGCCCAGACAGCCAGGAUGUUGGCUUAGAAGCAGCCAUCAUUUAAAGAAAGCGUAAUAGCUCACUGGUCGAGUCGGCCUGCGCGGAAGAUGUAACGGGGCUAAACCAUGCACCGAAGCUGCGGCAGCGACGCUUAUGCGUUGUUGGGUAGGGGAGCGUUCUGUAAGCC
rnacentral:rRNA from 1 species